GGUUACCAUAUUGAUAGUUACAUGUGUUGCUUGAGACGUAUACAGUCUCGGCGUCAAUAUGACACAAACUACGCUAUCAUGUCAAUCUCGUUUUUUGUGAGUUUGCACUACUUAUUUAUUUUUUUAUUUUUUUUGCAUUUAAUUUAGUCUAUGACCAAUAUUUUUAUUUUAUUUUUCAAGCAUCCAUAGUAAAAUUUUGGGAACAGGAGUACGGGGGCAACAGGAGUUUUUUUGCGCCUUCUAUCGCAUCUAUCUCGGAAGAGUGGACCGGUUUCAUCGACGGGCGCACUGACAAGAGUCUCCCUUGGUGGACGGUCGAUUAUGUGUUGCUCCCUUGUAAUGUAGCGAAUUCUCACUGGUUUCUCUUAAAGAUUUGCUUGAAAGAUAGGAGAAUUGUCAUAUAUGACUCCAAUGCCAUGAAUGAAGACAGUCGUAGGAGCAGGGUCGAAGUUAUACAACCACUUGUGAGCCUCUUACCCAUUCUACUAAAGAAAACUGCAUAUUAUGAACAUGUAACCACAACUGCGACGCUAGACAGAGAUUGGGAAGUGGAGAAUACUGAUCCUCAGAAGUUGCCUCAACAACCGGAUGGGGCCAGCUGCGGGUGCUACGUUAUCAAAUACGUCGAGGACAUACUGAGGCAUAAUGAGGAUCACUGGCAGAUGCACCCGACUGUGGAUGUCUGUACCCUCCGGAGACAGAUUGGAAUAUUUUUGUAUAGACAUAGUACGAUAGUACGGUAGUAUACUUGUAGAUUAAUAGAUUAGAAAAUUCUUCGUUUUGUGUUUUUAUUUUCAUCUAGUUUAAAUGUUGUAUAUAUUUUUGUAUAGGUAUAGCAAAUAGCAAAUUAUGUAUUGUUCACUUGAUGAAAUGUGGUUUGUGGUGUUGUUGAGGGUAAGGGAUAAGUGGUUGUGGUGGCAGUAUGUUGUUGGGAAGAGAGACUGAGU